AUACAACUACCCUCACCCAGAGAGAUUGCAGUAUAAAAACAAUGCAGAAGGAGAUCAGCAAGCUGAUGAUGGAAAAACAGCUUGCACAGACAAACCCGACAACUGCAUGCACCUGUUUGUCACCCUGGACCUCGGAGCCACCCUGCACCUAGAUUCCACGCCAACCCAUAGCCACUCGGCCCACCCCCCUGACACUGUUGUUAUACCUAAUGCCAUGAUGAAUGAAGCCCAGUCAAUGUAAUUGUCUUUUAUGCUUGAAACCAUCUCUUAUAUAAUAAAAUAGAAAUGAAUUAC